GGUCCCAUUCCGAACCCGGAAGCUAAGCCCUCCAGCGCCGAUGGUACUGCACCCGACAGGGUGUGGGAGAGUAGGACACCGCCGAAC
rnacentral:rRNA from 5 species